UCGCAACGCACAACGAAGCAGCCAUCAAUCCUUCCGUAUGAAGAGAAGCUAGCGGCUCAUUGCAUGUAUGAAUCACUUUCUGCACACUGUUUCCAAAUCAUGUCAACAUCGACUCUUCUGCUUGGCUCUGAGAAUCCCCAAAUCUCAUCAGCACCAGCACCCACUCCACCCUCCCAAUCCUGUCAACCCAAACUUCCCUCAAAUCUGAAUAUCAAAUCACCUCUCCAAUCCUCCCCAAAUCCCGCUUUGCCCUGAUGAUCCCUAAAUCUCAUCACCACCAGCACCCACUCCCCUCUCCAAAAACUAUCAGCCCAAACGCCCCACUCAAAUAUAAAGGAUAAUCUGAAGUGCAUAUAAGCAAAUAGAAGGUUGGCGGACCUCAAAAAAGGAACCAAAAAUAUGAAAGAAACUUUGGAGACCAAACUAUGACAACCAGGAAAUAAUUGAUGACAAUAAUGAUAUUCCACAACAGUAGAAAAUCGGGAGGAUCCACUCAAGGGAAAAGCAAAAAAUGAUGCAUGAUAUAACCAAGAAGACAUAUUAUAGUAGACUCCUUUAUCACUCGAAGAGCAUUCCUAUGUGCAACAUUCAUCUUUUUUGUACACUGAAAUAUUUAAUCGGUUGCUCGGCGGCGCGGCAACGACGCACAUCGUUUUCUAGUUAUAUCUGAUUAUAUGUUUCCAAUUUUGGGCUUUUGUGUAUUU